UUCUUAUCCAGAGAGGUGGAGGGACUGGCCCUAUGAAACCUCAGCAACAGACUUGUACAGAACUGUGCUAAUUCCAGUAGCGAAAAGCUUGGAGAUAAGAA
rnacentral:ncRNA from 2 species